rnacentral:rRNA from 1 species
AACGAACGCUGGCGGCAGGCUUAACACAUGCAAGUCGAACGUGAUCUUCGGAUCUAGUGGCAGACGGGUGAGGAACACGUGGGAACAUCCCUUUCAGUUCGGAAUAACGUUGGGAAACUAACGCUAAUACCGGAUACGCCCUUCGGGAGAAAGAUUUAUCGCUGAAAGAUUGGCCCGCGUCUGAUUAGCUAGUUGGUGAGGUAACGGCUCACCAAGGCUACGAUCAGUAGCUGACCUGAGAGGAUGAUCAGCCACAUUGGGACUGAGACACGGCCCAAACUCCGACGGGAGGCAGCAGUGGGGAAUAUUGGACAAUGGGCGCAAGCCUGAUCCAGCCAUGCCGCGUGAGUGAUGACGGCCUUCGGGUUGUAAAGCUCUUUUGUCCGGGAAGAUAAUGACUGUACCGGAAGAAUAAGCCCCGGCAAACUUCGUGCCAGCCGCCGCCGUAA